rnacentral:misc_RNA from 1 species
AAAAUGCGAAACGUAAUGCGAUUUGCAUGAAUCUGUGAGUCAUUUAAUUUUUGAACGCAACUUGCACCCAUGAAGGGUAUGUUUGUUUGAGACGAUAAUAUUUAUUGAAUGAAGUGGUCAUGACAAUGUCUUGACUGGAAUGUAUGGUAUGGAACAAUGUGGAUGGAAGAAAGUCCAUGUGUUAGGUAGGAUUGUUUGGACUGUUGGUUUUGAAAUGACAUGAUUCAAUUCAUGACUCAUGACACAGCUCAACGCUCAACUCAACACUCAAUUCAUGGAAACUUCAAACCACACAUCAAAACACGUCUCAAAUCAAGCAAGAUUACCCGCUGAACUUAA